UACCAGCUCUCCGAGUGGUGUGGACGUUUAUUGGGCCUAAAGCAUCCGUAGCUGGCUGAACAAGUCCCCCUGUUAAACCCACCGAUUUAAUCGUUGGCUUGCGGGGGAAACUGCUCGGCUAGGGGACGAGAGAGGCAAGCGGUAUUCUCGGGGUAGGGGUGAAAUCCUAUAAUCCCGAGAAGACCACCAGUGGCGAAGGCUGCUUGCUAGAACGCGCCCGACCGGUGAGGGAUGAAAGCUGGGGGAGCGAACCGGAUUAGAUACCCGGGUAGUCCCUGAGCGGGCUGG
rnacentral:rRNA from 1 species